AAAGGUGAUUCACUCUAGGGCUAUUCUUAGCCACUCUUAUUCCCAGGAGACUACCAUCACCCUGUGCUCUUGUACAGAGACCAGAGAGCACCUCACUGCAGAGUAUGAAGAUAUACGGAGACAGAGGGUCACCCUGGCGGAUGCCUCUCUGAGGGGUCACCGAUCCUUGAGCUGCCCCAUUCAGCAGGAAAGAGUAAUGCAGUGUUUCGUGAGUGAUGAGUACAUUGUCAGUGAUUGCUCUCUUGGGGACGAAGGCUGAUUGAUUCUCGGAAACUACUUCUUGAAGAACAGGUUGGAGGCGUCGAGAAAGAAGCUUGGAAAUGAUCUUGUAAAACACAGUACACAGCGCAAUAGGUUGGCUGAGGAGAAGAAAGCUUGUACUUCAAUAACUAUAUUCGGACCCACUGUUUCCCAAUUUGACUGAAAGAAACUAGCUGAGAAGCCAUCGGGGCCCGGUGCCUUAUCCGCGUGAAUGGAGAAACAUGCUUUCUUAAUCUCCUC